rnacentral:rRNA from 1 species
UACGGGGGGAGCAAGCGUUGUUCGGAAUUACUGGGCGUAAAGGGCGCGUAGGCGGCCUACUAAGUCAGACGUGAAAUCCCCCGGCUUAACCUGGGAACUGCGUCUGAUACUGGAAGGCUUGAGGAUGGGAGAGGGAUGUAGAAUUCCAGGUGUAGCGGUGAAAUGUGUUGAUAUCGGAAGGAACGCCGGUGGCGAAAGCGAUCCGCUGGACCUCUUCUGACACUGAGGCGCGAAAGCCAGGGGAGCAAACGGG